rnacentral:misc_RNA from 1 species
AAGUCGUAACAAGGUUUCCGUAGGUGAACCUGCGGAAGGAUCAUUAAUGAAGCAUUAGAGAGGUUGUCGCUGCCUUGAAAGAGGAUUGUGCACGCCUUUCAAACCUUCUUCAACCACCUGUGCACUCUUCUUAGACUGUGAUACCUUUCACUGAAAAUGUGGAUAGAGGAUUUGCGAAUUUUUGCUUAUCUUCAAUUUCGCAGUCUAUGUUUACACACACUAUGAAAUAUUAGAAUGUUGUUUUACUUGCUGUAAUGGCUUGUAAUAAUUAAAUACAACUUUUAGCAACGGAUCUCUUGGCUCUC